rnacentral:rRNA from 1 species
UACAGAGGUCCCGAGCGUUGUUCGGAUUCACUGGGCGUAAAGGGUGCGUAGGUGGUGAGGUAAGUCGGAUGUGAAAUCUCGGAGCUCAACUCCGAAAAGGCAUUGGAAACUACCUUGCUUGAGGGUUGGAGGGGGGACUGGAAUUCUCGGUGUAGCAGUGAAAUGCGUAGAUAUCGAGAGGAACACCAGUGGCGAAGGCGAGUCCCUGGACAACACCUGACACUGAGGCACGAAAGCUAGGGGAGCAAACAGG